AGAUGAUGUAAACUUACAUAUCUAAAUAUUUUUAUUUUGGAUUGUUGUUGUUUUUUUCUUUGUGUGAAAUCACGCUAUACGUGAUACAGUUAUUGUGUUGUUUUUAUUGUCGAUUUAUUAUCGUCAUAAAAUAAAAUCUGUACUGACAGUGCUUCCCUUCCUCUUGUGCUUUUUCUCCCACGUGUUGACCCACCUGAGUAGUACAGCACUGCCCUGUGCUCCCACUGCCAAGUCUAUUAGCCCAUCUCCAUCCAAGUCCAACCUAACACUCAAACUGCGGCCAAAGUACUGCAGGGAGGAGGAAAUCGAUGACCCUGCAAUACGCUAUCAGGACGGGAGCCAAAAAAGAGAAAUUAGUUUGAUUGGCUUCUCGAUCCUGCCAGCAAGCUUUUGGUGGUAGUGGUGCUCCCACCAGCAAGUCGGUGAAGCCGUCAUGGUUGAGGUCAGGGGCGGCUGCCAGCGCAUAACCAAACCUGGCGUCCUGGGACUUUUCCUCUGACUUCAGAGUUCCAUUGGACACAAACACCUCCUCCUGACAGACAAGAAAGAGGAGGGAAGGAAGGUGGCAGAGUUGGAGAUAUAGACUCUACCAGCUUCCUUGUUUCCUAAGCCGAGGUACAUCGGAGCAGCAACCAGAAGGACAUCGGUGAUGCCAUCCUGGUCAAUAUCCAACCCACACACCUCACUGCCAUAGUAGGAGCCAAUCUACAGACAGAGACAUGUCAUUUCAGCUUACUGCCAGUAGGUGGAGUCUUUGCUUUAAUAUCACUUUAAAAAGAUUCCUGCCGUUUUGCUAUUUAGAGUGACAUUGAAGAAAUGACAAAAGUUUUACCUGAUCUCCAUUAAGGGCCUGUACAAUGUUGACAUCGCCGUCAUCACUGAGUUCAAACAGGAUGACUUUGCCUUUGUGUUUGAAGCGAGGAGCCCCAGCUACAUACAGCCUCCUCCAGUCACCAACUGUCACUGAUGACACUGUGUAACCUGAAAACACGUUCACAUGCACAUCACCACACACUGAUGCUCAGUCUUCAGGUCUCAGUGAUAAAUUAUAGAAUCAUACCGGAUAAUUAGGUAUCAUUUAACUUGCUUACUUUUAAAUCAAGUGCACUCUCUGCUGAUAUUUUUGACUUUUUUUAACAUUUCUUUCUACAUGUUCAGCUUCAGUUCCCUCCAAUAUGGCAUAAAACAACCUUUAAGGAAAUCUGCCCCAGAGAAGUAAUGUAUCACAUCUUGUUGUUUUUAUUUUUUCUGUCAAUGUUUGUAUCAUGUUAUGUGUUAAUGCAGUCUAAAGUGCACUACUGAAGUGAUGUGUUUACGUGCACGUGGAAAGCUCCGACAUUUGUGAUUUAAAGGUGGGCUGCAAGAACAGGGGUGCAUUCACAAGCUAUGUUUUCUGACACGUUGAAAAAAAACAAGGAUGAAACACGGAUCAUGUAUUUUGGAGCUUAGUGCAUAGAGAGAAGUUUCUGUUUCACAUACAGUUAAAGGUGCUGAACUUAAAGUCCACUGGAGCACCAGACACCCAGGAGCCUCAGGAAGCCCCAGGUUCGCUGUUCGGUAAUUAUUUUGUAGAAAUUUUAUUUAAUGCAAAUCUGUGACUGCAGGUCAAAUGUUUGUUUUACUACUUAUAUUUCAGCUGAUAUUAAGCUUUAACAUGAAACAUAUUCUUCAGUGCAUUUUCAUUCAAUUAUCAAACAAAUGAUAGACUAAAGCAAAACAAAAUGGCAACCCAAAUGAUUAUCAGGUUAAUCAGCCAGUCUCUCAUGUCGGAGCUUCCCAACAACACAUGAAUGCACCACUGUAAAGGACAGACUCUUCAAGACACUCCACACAAUAACACAAUAAUCAGUGAGUGACAGUAAUACACUAACAAGUGAAAAAAAAGCCCAUCAUGUUUGUUGUGUUGUACCUAAAUAAGCGGCGUGAUUUUUGAGCUCCAGCGGAAACUCGCUCUCAAAAGCCUCUCUGGGCGGCACGAUGCGUCCAUUGGUCCCCUCCUUCAAAACUCCACCAUCCCAAUCGUAGGCACCGACCAUCCCAAACAAAAUGCCAUCCUGAACAACCAAUAGCAGCGCAAGGUUGAGAAACAGGUAAAAAUACAUUUAGUUCUUAUGCUGAUGAGAAAGUAUAGGUUGGACCCACGUCCAGUGUGUGUGUGGAGAAGCCGAUCUGAGACAUCUCCAUGUGGAAUGAGCUCUCGUUGUAGCCCAGCGUGCCUGCAGGUGGACAGAGACAACGAGUCAGCACUCUCCAUCGCCAUUGUUUCUUUACACAUCUCCUCCCUUCCUUCCACUACCGCUCAGCGACUGAUCGAGAUGACACCCUCACUCACCCUGAAGACCACAGGUGGCAGACGUGCCUCGCCCUUUCCUAACCUCCUGUCCUUUCCUCUCUGAUUUAAGGGUGGCAUCACCUUUCAUCAGCCUUCCUCUCCUCGUCUCUCAACUAUUGUGAUAGCUGUACACUCCCACCACCUUCUUUUCCCGUUCUUACUUGUUCUGCAGAACUGCUGUUUAUUUAUUUCAUUUUUUUUCUUUCCACAGUGAUCCCUCUCCACUUCGGACUCACAUUCUUGAACUUGUACCUCUGCUUUCCCAGACAUUACAACUUAAAGGGGCAGCACACGAUUUUGAUCGAAAUACACUUUUUGUAAAAAUCAGCAAAUAUUUCCUCAGGUUUUUCGGCGCAGCCUAACCCUAACCCUGUUCUAUCACACACCUUCCAGAGUGAAGAUCCGAUCUCCCAGGGCAUCCACAAUGUCAUUGAGUGCGGCUUCAUCCGUCACGUUGAAAAAGAAUUUUUCAUCGGGGUCGCUGGCGAUAUAUUUUAUCUCACUAAUGAAUGUCUCAGGGUCCUGCUGCCGGCGGAUAUAAUGACCCAAAACCUGAAGCCCAGAAUGGGAGAUAAAGAGAGAGAAAGAUUUUAAGAGAAAACACAAUAAAUGAAUAAGCAGACAGCACAAGUUUGAUAAAACAUUGAGGGAUUGGAGAUCAGACAUUACUUCUAAUGAGGAACAGUGAAGAGAGAUAUCAGUCUGUAGUUUGAGGGAGAAGAGGAGGGGGACAACACCACUCCGAGGACUCUGAAGCGACCUGGAAACUACAGGGUCCAACUCUCUAACAUCAAAAUAAACUGAUUUCAUAGCUGGUUCACUACCUGUGUAAUUUACCAGUAAUUAAUCAGUACCCAAAGACAACAAACUGACUGGAAAACACAAGACGAGAGGAAAUGGCAGCCACAAGAGAUUUGUAAAUGAGGUGCACAGGCCUAGCUCAGAGGUGAAGAGAUGACUGGUGCACAAGAUAUACUGUGGCAGCAGAGGCCUAUGGCUUAAUGCCUGAAGUAUAAAUGAGAAAAUUCCAUAAGAGAAACUAAACCCAAGAAUCUCCCCAAGUGACUCCAGCUGCCAAGCAAACUAAGGAAAUCCUCUGUUUUCAAAGGGCAGGGGAUGGAGGGGGGGUGUAGUAUGUAACAUGAACAGAGUCGACAUAUAAAUAUGUACAUUAAGAUCUUAUGAGAGCCAAGAAAUUCCAGUCAGUCUGCCAACCGCUGCUGUUUUUUUAUAAAGCAAUGAACAGUAAAGAAGAAAGACGAAAGUCUUUUCCAGAUUUCAAGGAUUUGCCAACACAGUUGUUGUCAAAUAUAUGACAGUGAGUGUCCAUAGACACUUAACAUGGUUCUGCAUGAACUGCUCCCCCGCAAACACACAAUUCACAGCCCCUGACCUGCACUGAUGUAUAAAACACAGUCCACAUUGCCACACUCAUGUUUUGAAAGCUCAGCCCUCCCUUGUGAGACAUUUUUACCGCACGCGCGCGCGCACACACACACGGCUGCUGUUACACGUAAAUAAAUAAAAAGCACCUCA